CCCUCCAUGUCGUGUGGACUCACGUCUGAAUCGUCGUCGGCUGAGGGAGAUAAAUGAUGAACUCAAACGAGUUGUUUAUCAUUCUGCGCUGGAUUUCGGCUUCGAUUUGGAUUUGGAUUAUGCCCGCAGAGCAAACGCUUUCUGUAAUCUGCGAACUUCAGCGCUGCGGAAUGUGAGUCGAACUGAAUGCCAGCUCCGGGCGGUUGAGGCGGCACAGCAGCGGAGCGGAUAAACGCACGAGCGUUGAGCAAAACUGGAUGCUGCCCUCUGCUCACCCCCCUUCCACUCGCCCCUCACUCGCACUUCAGCGCUCGCUUUGCAUCGCUCUCGGCGGAUAACUGAUAAGACUGAUAACACGACUGCGACGACAUGAUUAAGGCCCAGAACGGAACUUGGCCAGGCCAAAACACUUGAGUGACACUAAUCGUGAUAAGCGCGGCCAGAGCAAGUUAACUAACUUUUGAUGAUAAGUCAACGUAAGACGAAUGCAAAAUGUUAUUAGCUUUCGCUUACAUGUUCAAAUAAGACGAUGUAGUCGAAGAUUAACUAAUCAAGAUUUUGUGGGUUCUAUAGGAGUUAUUAGGUAAGAUCUGAUUACGCAUUUUACUAUAUAAAUAAUUGUAUUUUACUUUAAAAGUAACUCAAUCCACCAUUUUGAUUGGAACUAAUUGUUAUCGUAAACAAAAUCUGAAAAGUGUGUUACGUUUCCGUUUUUAUCUUUACAGUCAGUCAAAAAUAUGCAAUAAACUGUCAGUCAAAAAUAUGCAAUAAACUGAUUUUUGUAACGAUUGUCAA